GCGGUGUUUUAGUCUAUUCAGAGGAAUCUGUCCCGUUAUCGAUAGUCCCCGUUUUAUCUUACUUUAUUUUGUUUACAGUAUGUAUACCGCCGUUAUAAGUUUAUUUUAUUAGAAUUAUAAUUUACUUAAAAUAAUAUUUUAUUACAUUUCAGGUCAAGGUGCAGCUUAUAAUAAAGUGGAGGUGGAUUACAUUAUUUAUUGAAUAAACGGAUGUGUUUAUUUAAAAUUUCAUUGAAGGUGGAUUUGAUAGUAAUAUUUUUUAUAUUGAUUAUUUGAUUAUAGCUCUAAAACAAGCACACAUCG
rnacentral:rRNA from 1 species